rnacentral:lncRNA from 1 species
ACUUCCAAUGUCAUAUGCGGGGCCCAAGCCCAAUUUCAUUAAUUUAGUAAUUCUUUUACUUGUAUUAGACAUGUGUACAAUGUGUUAGGCACGUGGUACAUUUAGUUUUAUAUAUAGGCAUGCUAACACAUUUUGUAAGGACUUUUGANAUUAAUGAGAAUUUAGUUUUCUAAGUCAGAAAAUAAUUCUCCCUUGAAAGUCAUUGGCUAGAGAGUCCAAAGACCUCUAGCCNCCUUCCAAAGCACACUUCAUUAUUUCAUUGUUCCAAUUACUCCACCGUGCUUCUCACUCCUCCCCAUCCAUCAAUCCUCUAACGCCACUCGUUCCAAUACGAAGCUUCCGCGUUGUUCUACUCAUUACUGCCACACCAAAGUCUCCAUUCCAUGGUCAUUUUUGCAUUUCAUCAUCAGCCUCAUUCGAAGCCACAAAUCUCUCUCCGCUAGGGUUUCUCCCGACUCUAACACAGAGAACGAUCUUCAGCCACUGAUUCACGUCUUUCCACNGGUAAAUUUGUUUUUCUUGCCUAGAUCUACCUUAUCAUCACCCUUGCCUUCCGUUUAACCGAAUGUUUUUCAUCCUUUCCUUCCAUCUCACCGAU